rnacentral:misc_RNA from 1 species
GAUGAAGAACGCAGCGAAAUGCGAUAAGUAAUGUGAAUUGCAGAAUUCAGUGAAUCAUCGAAUCUUUGAACGCACAUUGCGCCGCUUGGUAGUCCGAGGGGCAUGCCUGUUCGAGCGUCAUAUUAACCACUCCCGCUUGCGGGGUCUUGGGCUUCGCCUCCGGGCGGGCCUUAAAAUCAGUGGCGGUGCCGUCGGGCUCUACGCGUAGUAAAUUUUCUCGCGAUAGGGUCCCGGUGGAUGCUUGCCAACAACCCCCAACUUCUUAAGGUUGACCUCGGAUCAGGUAGGGAUACCCGCUGAACUUAAGCAUAUCAAUAAGCGGAGGA